GGGUGGGGGUUGGGGGCAGUGAAAUGUGAAAAGGGAGACGUGGACUCUCCCUGAGGAAGGCGAGUGUGACUCACCAGUUGGUGUGCACGCCGAGCUGGUCACAGCACACAGUUCCUAAUGUCCCGGCGCUUCCAAGUCGGGUCUGACGUCAUUCAGGCUUCCGUGGAGCAGGGACACCUCCUGCUUUACUGGAACCAUGAGCCCUGCAAAAAGUGGUGAGGGUGAUUUUUCCAAUUCAUCAUUCAUUGAAGCAGUUAAACUGGAAAUAGAACAUUAGUGCUGUGUUAAGGUAAACAGCAGCCCGUCUAGUGGUAUUACCAUGAAGUCUCUAGUUUUUAAUGUCAGAUCCGUGGGAGACGGGCAGUACAUGUUAGCGAUGGACUGAACGGAGGUGAGAGAGCUCAGGCGUGGGCUGCUGUCAGGAGCAGGAGUGUUAGUCAUUUGCCUUGAGAAACACAUCUCAGUAUUGUUAGUGAAUCCCUUAAUCAUGCGUCUCUGAAAACGGGCACCACAAAACCAAAGUUACUGGGGGCAGGGGGCGGCGGCACUCUGGCAAGGCUGCUCUCGAUGGUGUGCCGGUUCUCCUCGGACGCUCCUCUCAAAAGGGUCUCUCCUCUGCCUAAUAGUUUUACUCACACUGGUCAUAGAAGGCAAGUCCGUGCAGCCCACGCCCCCCCCUAGCCCUCUGGCCCUCGGCCUGCCCCUGCAUAUGUUCUGCCCACCUUGGGUUCACCCACUGUCCCCACCAGAAGAUGCCAAGAACAUCCUCGCCGCCUCCCUGGAAGAGCCCACAGCCUUCUCUGACCCCCUGGGCUCCCCUCCCUCCCACGGCCACUCUGGGUACACAGUACCUUCCGAGGGUCAGUUUCUCUUUGUUUUUUAAGUGCCUGCACAAGGUGCAGACCUCUGGGACCUGCCAGAGAGUCGGCCUGUGCCCUGCCCUUCCCUCCCCGACCCUGCACUGGGCCCCUGGGGGGUCUGUGGCAGCUGCCCCCUGCCAGGGUCCCCGGGCUCCACAGGCAGGACAAUCCAAAGGUGAGCGCGGGUGUGGUGUUUGAGGCUGGCUGUGUCACUCUCGCCUGCGCUGCUGCGGUCACAGUCACAGACUGUGAAGGCGCCUGCUUAGCUAGCGAGUGAGGAGAGUGGAAGUGGGGCAGCCGCCGCAGGUGCAUCAGACCCAAGAGGGCAAAGAAUCAGAGUUAAGACCAGGAUGACUCACCUGCUGGUCACUGGAACCCUGGCUGCCUGGCUCAUCCUGUUCUUCUGUCUGUGGGAUUGAGGUGUCUGCCCACAAGGGCCGAGGAAAGCCGUCACCAGUAGGGCGAAACGAGAUCAGAAGUGCGCCUUUGAAGAUGACUGUGAGAGUAUUCGUUUGUUUCUCUUUUAAAGUACGUGGAGUCUGAGCUGAAUUCGGGGCCUUGGCCACGUGGCAGGUGGACGAGGGUUCUCCUGGGACCGCGCUGUUGACAUCAAGGCACUGAGCUGUGCUUGGAUGGGGGCUGGUGCGCUCCAAGGUUUUGCAGAAUGGGACAGUCCAUACCCAGGCACUUUAUUUUCAUGAAUAAUGCAGGCUUUUCGUUCAGACAGUGGAAUAACCCACACGCUGGGCCUUCCCAUUUAACACGUAUGGCGUUUGCCGGAGGAACUGUGAGCAAGUGGCACGAGGGGGUUUGACGGAGGCAGUGGGUGGGCAAGUCUGCCGUGGGGCGGCCACGCACAGGCCCCUGGUUCUCCAGGUGCCGGAGGCUGGUUUCUCUCAGCUCACCUGCAUGUGGGCUCUGGGUCGCCGGGCACUGGGUGAUGGUUUGUUCCGUCUUCCUGGGCAUUCGUUGCAGGGAUGGGAGCUACUGGUGCAGCGAAUUCUAAAGUGGAACGUGAGUUGACGAUGGUCAUUUGAUCAGAUGCCUCGGGACUGCCCGAAAGUGUUUAGCAUCCACCAAAUAGUCGAGUACCUGUGACAGGCCGGGGGGCCCUGCCCAGCGGGGGCGGGUGUUGCAGGGCACAUCACCCCUCUGCCCCUGCUGCCACGUCCUAGUCUUCGUGUUUCCCUCUGGCGUCUCUGGGUCUCUGUCCCCACCUUGUGCACCAUGCGUCCCUGAGGGGAGUCGCACCUGUGUCUUGAGUCUGCUGUAAGGUGUUCAGUCUACCUCAAGGGGGUCGUCAUGGUCAGCUCUGUCCCAUAGCAGUCCUUCCCACGUCGCCACACACACUGGAAUGUAUAUCUGCCCUGGCCCCGGCCCACCUUCGUCAGUCACCCUCCUGACCCCAUCUCUUCCUCUGUCACCACAAACUCCUAGUGCAAAUUGGAUGCUGCUUUAAAUGUGAAAACAAUUGUUCAAAAGCUAUGAAACCUGAAUGAAAGCUAAAGCUGAAUUUAUAAGCCUUGUUGCAUAUGAGCCAAAAGUGCAAAAAGCUCUAUAUAAUGAACUAACCUGCCACUCGUAUAAAUAUAAAUAUAUAUAAAUAUAUUAAAAUCAGACUGUUCUACAAAAUUGUGUAUUUGUAUUUUUGUGUACGUACAAUUUUCUGCUAAGCAGAAGGAGGAUGUAGUAUAGGAAGCUGUGAGAAGAGAUUCGGUUUAAUCCUGUUUCUUUGUUACUUAUUUUUGUUAACAUCAGAUGAUGCCUGUCUUUGUCUCACGUGUAUGACACUGUUUGGAAAUCUGCAGUAUCUCUCUUCCUUAGGGCCAGUGUCCUCUAGAGAAUGAAGCCUGGGUGGAGAGCGCCGUCCUGGGCACCGGACGUGGGGCGGUGGCCCAGGUUGCCCGGGCGCCACUGGGGGCCCUGAGGUGGGACUGCAGGAACCAGAACUCCCCUUUCUAGAAAUCAGCUUCCAAAACAGGACUGUCAGCGCUAAGGCAGACUCCCCACCGGGAGGGGGCGCGCACGAGGGCCAGAAGGUCGCCCAGAAAGCCAGCCUGGCUCCCUGGGCUCUGGCCCCUCUCCCACCUAGCUGCUGCCUUUUUCAGAUCAGGUUACCAAAUGCCUCCCCUCUGCCGAGCUGCUGGCGCUUCAUCCCCCAGACCUCCAGCCCCAGCUCCCUGGAGGGUCUCAGAACCCACCUUCCCGGUGCUAACACACGAGAGGCAGUAGUGCGGCUGCCAGCAGGGGCCAGAAACGAGCGUCAGACUGGCUCUGCGUGCCCCGGACAGCCGGCCUUCCCCCGACAGAAGCCCCAGGCCUGGGCCUGCCCCCACUCCCGCCCACCUCUCAGCGUGCUCCCACCAGCCAGCACCUCCCCAACCCUGACGUGAACCUUCUCUAGGGAGAGUGAUACUGCACCUUCGCCUGUGGGACUCAUAUUUAUAACAAUGUGUGAUGACUGUAGCAAACAGCCCUUGUUUCUGGAUGUACAUGGUCCGAGAAACAAGCGCUCUCUUGUAUUGAUUAAAAUAGUUCCGAUGAGUCCUGUAUCCUUGUAUCUCCUAUUCUGGAUUAGUGCCUUUUGGACAGUAGACUGUUCUGUAAUUAAAAUGUAGUAUACUGCUUUUUUGUACAGUUUUGUUUUAAUAAAACUUUUUUUUAAUUUGUGUUUAUUUUAGUAUUGUACCUAUU
ensembl:lncRNA